UACAGAGGUCUCAAGCGUUGUUCGGAUUCAUUGGGCGUAAAGGGUGCGUAGGCGGCGCGGUAAGUCGGGUGUGAAAUCUCGGGGCUUAACUCCGAAACUGCACUCGAUACUGCGGUGCUUGAGGACUGGAGAGGAGACUGGAAUUUACGGUGUAGCAGUGAAAUGCGUAGAGAUCGUAAGGAAGACCAGUGGCGAAGGCGGGUCUCUGGACAGUUCCUGACACUGAGGCACGAAGGCCAGGGGAGCAAACGGG
rnacentral:rRNA from 1 species